rnacentral:rRNA from 1 species
GACGAACGCUGGCGGCGUGCUUAACACAUGCAAGUCGAACGAUGAAGGAGAGCUUGCUCUCCGGAUUAGUGGCGAACGGGUGAGUAACACGUGACUAACCUGCCCCUUUCUCUGGGAUAACGCUCCGAAAGGAGUGCUAAUACCGGAUACGAACUCUGAACACAUGUUCGGAGUUGGAAAGUUUUUCGGAAAGGGAUGGAGUCGCGGCCUAUCAGCUUGUUGGUGAGGUAACGGCUCACCAAGGCGACGACGGGUAGCCGGCCUGAGAGGGCGACCGGCCACACGGGGACUGGGACACGGCAAGACUCCUGCGGGGGGCAGGAGGGGGGAAUAUUGCACAAUGGGCGAAAGCCUGAUGCAGCGACGCCGCGUGGGGGAGGAAGGUCUUCGGAUUGUAAACCUCUUUCAGUGGGGACGAAGCGAAAGUGACGGUACCUAAAGAAGAAGCACCGGCUAACUACGUGCCAGCCGCCGCCGUAA